rnacentral:lncRNA from 1 species
GAACUUAGAAAGGAAAGAGAGAGUUGUUGUGAGUAGAGUUUCACUGUUUAGUACAUACACAAGAAACCCUAGACUAAAAAACCCAAUCUCGAUCGUAUUAUUUUUGGAAUACGAAGAUCAUUCGAAUCCCACAACACCCCUUGUCAUGGUUUGGUUUGAUUGUGUUUAAUCUGCCUGAUAUAUUCCUUGUCCUUACUAUCCAUACUAUUUUCAAUGAUGUAAAGGGUUGGCCAGUAUGCUUGACCUACAAGCCCUUCAAAGUACUCCAAAUCCGAACAGACCAAUGUAUUGGUUGGAAAUCGAAUGAAAUUCACUAUGUCGUGUAUAGCUAGCCCUGUGAAAUAAAACCAUAAUUUUGUUACUCAGGGUUAGCAUAUAUGAUACAAUGAACUAUGUAUCUUCGACC